UCUCCAGACUCCUACGGGAGGCAGCAGUGGGGAAUAUUGCACAAUGGGGGAAACCCUGAUGCAGCAACGCCGCGUGAGUGAAGAAGUCUUUCGAUAUGUAAAGCUCUAUCAGCAGGGAAGAAGAUGACGGUACCUGAGUAAGAAGCCCCGGCUAACUACGUGCCAGCAGCCGCGGUAAUACGUAGGGGGCAAGCGUUAUCCGGAUUUACUGGGUGUAAAGGGAGCGUAGACGGCAUAGCAAGUCUGGAGUGAAAGGCGGGGGCCCAACCCCCGGACUGCUUUGGAAACUGUAUAACUGGAGUGCAGGAGAGGUAAGUGGAAUUCCUAGUGUAGCGGUGAAAUGCGUAGAUAUUAGGAGGAACACCAGUGGCGAAGGCGGCUUACUGGACUGUAACUGACGUUGAGGCUCGAAAGCGUGGGGAGCAAACAGGAUUAGAUACCCGAGUA
rnacentral:rRNA from 1 species